UAUGGCCGUCACAGUCCCACUGUUGCACAGAUCCUGUCUCAGACCAAGCUGCGUUUAUGGUCAUGGAAGCACCAGUGCUAUAUUUACAUGGAGCUUUGGAUUCUAGGAAAAAAAUAAUUUACCAGCUGAGCUUAAAAUUGGAUGAUCCUGAUUUUAUUGGCAACAUCCGGAGCAUCACAAUCAGGAGCCACCAAAACAUACAUCUUAUUCUCUCCAUCAGGCCGUAUCAGGCUAUUGACUUUGGCCACAUGGAUGCCACAGAUGUUACAGAGUUUCUUCACAGGUUUACAGAGUUUCUUCACAAGGUUCUCUGAGCCAUGUUGGCUUGAACAUCCACGUAAGGGAUCAAAACCCUUAGGAAUGAUGGCCGCAUAUGAGAUCUCCCUGUCCACGACACCUGCCCUGAAGUGAAUGCGGAGCAGGUGAUAAGCUGUUUGAGCUUCCAAACUGGGUGCCUUGGAUGGACAGCCGGUAUCCACAGAGCCCACCGAUGACAGAAGAGCCACGCGACAUAGAAACAUUCACGGAUGCAGUCAAAUGAGUUUUGUUUCUUUUUCUUCUGUUGAUGGUAUCUUUCUAAUGAAGAAUGUUCGAGGAAGCAAAACGCAGAUUUGGCAACACACAUUAAUGACUCCUCCAGAAACAGACUAUGUUCUAGAGAUGCUCUGAGGAUCUUGGGCUUCAGACACAGCACAUCAUUAUCUGGACCAUGUCUACUUCCUGUUUCUUCAGAUACAAUAAUGGUUUUAUCUUAUGACUGGCUAUAUUUCACAGUUGGCAAAACCCUGCAAUAUAUAGGGGUCUUUCAACUGUCAUUAACUUGAAAACCUGCAAACUUGGACUUGAUCAACUCUGUGAGUGACCCACACACACACCCCAAGUGUGGGUUGUCAGUAAUACUAUGAACACUAGGGAAAACAGAACAAUGUGGAGCUCAAACUUUUUAAAGUAGAUUGGUUUCUUUGUUUCUUCCCUUUUCUUGUGAAAUUCUUGGGGGUUGGGCACAAAGUGCACGGACAAUAAUCUCUGGUUGAAGAGAGGACAAGUGACAGUUGUUUACUUGUGUUGUGGCAGCUCUUUGAAAAUGUGAUGUUUCAGCUUCUUAAAGAAAAAUGUA